rnacentral:lncRNA from 1 species
AGCCUAAUCACCAAGUGUGCUAGGACCAAGUCUUACACAUAUGAUGACUCAUGGUACAGAAACAAAUGUCACAACAUUAUUAUAUAACAAAGUUCUGUACAAAAUAAAUAAAUAAUUACAUCAUAUGGUGACAAUGAUCCAGCAACCCAAAGUUGACUGGGAGACGAUGGCCUAAACCACUCACAAACUCGUCACAGCAUCCUCCAUGCGCCUCAUCCUGCGGUACCUGUUCUUGACCUGUGGGGGGGUGUGAGACAGCAAGGGUGAGCUCACAUACGUUCAUCGCUCAACAAGUUGUGGGAAAAAAUGUGUAUGAACUCACCAAAGGUGGGAGCCCAUGUGAAGUGUAAGGCUUAUCAAAGAGGAUGGUUAAAACUGAGCAUUGCUUUUAAAGUUGUUCAAAUUUUUAUUAGCAGUUACUAAGUGUAAGUAGAUACCAACCCAAAUAAGUAAUAGAUCAAAAUUGAUAACAACACCCGCGAUGCAAUGCAUAUGACAAAUUAAGUUUAGUUCCAUAAAUUACUCAUGUGAGUGUCUGAGCCGCUCAUGACCGUGAGCACGGCUGAUAUACCAGUUUUACACUCUGUAGAGGUUGUGCAUCUUUACCCACAAGUCAUGUUACCCAUCUACCAAGGGGUCAUGAAUCCCAUACACCUCUACCAAGGAAGCGAGACAGGGUAACACUAUGAGGCCUUUACAAAGUUCCACUAGCUUCAGAAAACCCGCUAUAGUUUCUAGGAAGUCCUAAUGCAGGGAUCCCUCGCCCGACCGCCAUCGCCGCAAAAUCAACCUGAGGACCUCCCUACACCGACCACUCCCCUACUGCCCUUUCCCCUUUCGGGUAAGGUAGUCCUCCACUAGCUUUCCUAAUUAGUCAGCCAAAGGCAUCCCAUACCACCCUUGUGGUAGCACUGUUUUCCCGGGUGGUUCUCCAUGUUACAAUUAACAAUAUGAUCUUAUCAUGAACAAUAAUUAAAAACCAACAUAAUUGGAACAUGAUCAUAAUGAAACAUUAGUUUCCCAAAACCAGGUAGAGCAAUAACAAAUCUACCCAAUAGUUCAUCUAUUUGUAAGGUGAGGGAUAAACAAUGCUAGGGAAACCUAUUAGGUCCCAUCAAAUUAACCUGAGCAUGUCAUAGUGAUUAACAGUGAACAUUAUUAGGUAAAAAGGAGUGAUCAAGGGCACAACUUGCGUGAGACUCGAGAUUCUAGGUAUCAGGAUGAUCUUCAGAUGACUCGUAACAUCGUGCUAGUCGUAGCAAUACAAACAAACAUGGUAUAGGCAGAAUUAACAUCAUACAAAAUAUAAGCACAAACUGCAUAAUAAUAAUCUAUGCAUUGCUACGAGAUCGUGGGUUCGAGAAUCACUAAAAUCGGAGUUACGGUUACCGAGUUAUGAAUUACUGAAGAUCUAAGCAUUGGAUACAAAAGAAAUUAAGUGUAUAAUUCCUACCUAUGUUUCAUAACAAAAUAGGGUUACCAGAUGAUAAAAAUAUUAAUAUGAAUUUAUCGCAACUGGAAUGAAUCAAUUCGGAGUUAAAAUGGAUUUAAUAUGAAUUAAACUAGUUUUUAGAUUUAUUUUUAUACUAAAAACCCAUUUUAUUUAUUAAUUCUACCUAUUUUAUUAAUCCUUGUGCUGCGGCCACAAUUUUUCAGAAGCCCGAGGUCCGUUCUGUAAAAACCCAAGAACAUGAAUUAAACCACUUAACACCUAGUGUGGGUCGCGGGUUCAUUCAUAUAAAGAGUGGGGUUUCUUUUGCAAAACUGGCUAUCUAAAGGGGUAUUGUGUGAUCUGAGCCGUCCGAUCGGAUUUCAGUGGCUAGGAUUAAAUAGUGGCUUAAAACAAACCGGUACUUGAUACUAUUGGUGGGAUCGUUGAUCGACGGAACGGAUUAACCAUCACCUAAACCAAUCUGGGGCCGCCCGAUCACGAUCGGAGGGUGCGGAUACGUCGGGCCGAAGGGGGUGCACGUUAGCCUAAUCUACGCCGUACGCAUGCAAUCCGACGGCUAGAAACACCACCCCACUGCCGAUGUCCGAGCGCGGUGGCGCCGCCGAACUUAACAACGGCAGCCAUGGCCGGCGUUGGCCAACCUGGCGCCUUGAUGUGCGGAUUUGAGUGCAAAUUCGUGCAAAACGUUGUUGACAGCAUGGUGAAUCAAGGGAGGGUGCUCUUACCGAGGGAGAGAGCCCGAGUGGAUCCGCCCACGGUACGAGGAGGUUCCGCGGCGUUGUUUGUGCUCCAGCGAGCAAUCGUUCAAAGGCCGAGGUCUUAAUUCGCCUAGCGAUGCAACGAGUGGCUUCCGUGGCGGUACGAGGAGGUUCCGUGGCGUUGUUUGCACGGCACCGGGAUACGUGUGGUCGAAGUACGAUGGUGGCGGCCCUAUUUUCUCCAAGCUUGCGGCGAUGGUGGCUACGGUGCUUGCGCAACGGAUGUGGGCGCAGGCGGAUGAGACGAUGGGGGUCGCGACAGUUACCAUUUAUGGCCUGAGGAGAUGCGGCCCCGACUUGUAUAUCCCCUGUGAUUCACGGCGG